rnacentral:sRNA from 1 species
UCAAUAAGCGGAGGAAAAGAAACCAACAGGGAUUGCCCUAGUAACGGCGAGUGAAGCGGCAACAGCUCAAAUUUGAAAUCUGGCGUCUUUGGCGUCCGAGUUGUAAUUUGCAGAGGGCGCUUUGGCAUUGGCAGCGGUCCAAGUUCCUUGGAACAGGACGUCACAGAGGGUGAGAAUCCCGUACGUGGUCGCUAGCCUUUACCGUGUAAAGCCCCUUCGACGAGUCGAGUUGUUUGGGAAUGCAGCUCUAAAUGGGAGGUAAAUUUCUUCUAAAGCUAAAUACUGGCCAGAGACCGAUAGCGCACAAGUAGAGUGAUCGAAAGAUGAAAAGCACUUUGGAAAGAGAGUUAAAAAGCACGUGAAAUUGUUGAAAGGGAAGCGCUUGCAGCCAGACUUGCCUGUAGUUGCUCAUCCGGGUUUUUACCCGGUGCACUCUUCUAUAGGCAGGCCAGCAUCAGUUUGGGCGGUUGGAUAAAGGUCUCUGUCAUGUACCUCUCUUCGGGGAGAACUUAUAGGGGAGACGACAUGCAACCAGCCUGGACUGAGGUCCGCGCAUCUGCUAGGAUGCUGGCGUAAUGGCUGUAAGCGGCCCGUCUUGAAACACGGG